CCUACGGGAGGCAGCAGUGAGGAAUAUUGGUCAAUGGCCGCAGGGCUGAACCAGCCAAGUCGCGUGAGGGAUGACGGUCCUAUGGGUUGUAAACCUCUUUUGUCAGGGAGCAAAGGGCGCCACGUGUGGCGAUUUGCGAGUACCUGAAGAAAAAGCAUCGGCUAACUCCGUGCCAGCAGCCGCGGUAAUACGGAGGAUGCGAGCGUUAUCCGGAUUUAUUGGGUUUAAAGGGUGCGCAGGCGGAAUGUCAAGUCAGCGGUAAAAUUUCGGGGCUCAACCCCGUCGUGCCGUUGAAACUGGGGUUAUUGAGUGAGCGCGAAGUAGGCGGAAUGCGUGGAGUAGCGGUGCAAUGCAUA
rnacentral:rRNA from 1 species